rnacentral:rRNA from 1 species
AAAGAAACUAACAAGGAUUCCCUUAGUAACUGCGAGUGAAGAGGGAAGAGCUCAAAUUUAAAAUCUGGCAGUGUUUUGCUGUCCGAGUUGUAAUCUAGAGAAGUGCUGCCCGUGCUGGACCAUGUACAAGUCUCCUGGAAUGGAGCGUCACAGAGGGUGAGAAUCCCGUCUUUGACAUGGACUACCAGUGCAUUUGUGGUGUGCUCUCAAAGAGUCGAGUUGUUUGGGAAUGCAGCUCUAAAUGGGUGGUAAACUCCAUCUAAAGCUAAAUAUUGGCGAGAGACCGAUAGCGAACAAGUACCGUGAGGGAAAGAUGAAAAGAACUUUGGAAAGAGAGUUAAACAGUAUGUGAAAUUGUUGAAAGGGAAACGCUUAAAGUCAGUCGUGUCGGCCAGGGAUCAACUCAGCUUUCUCUGCUGGGUGUACUUCCUGAUCUGAUGGGCCAACAUCAGUUUUGACUGCUGGAGAAGGACAGAGGGAAUGUGGCACCUUUGGGUGUGUUAUAGCUCUCUGUCAGAUGCAGUGGUUGGGACUGAGGAUUGCAGCAUGCCGCAAGGCCGGGUCGUUUCGACCACGUUCAUGCUGAGGAUGUUGGCAUAAUGGCUUUAAUCGACCCGUCUUGA